rnacentral:ncRNA from 1 species
GAAUCGCCGAGAGUUUCUCGUUGCAAAUCGACGAAAGCUCACUGACAGGGGAGACUGAACCGAAGCAUAAGGUACUAGAAAAAAGAUAGCUCUGGCCUAGGAUCCGACAACUCGGACUGUGUGAGGUUGGACAAUUGGCUCCCUACCCGAAAGAUGGUGAACUAUGCCCGAGCUGGAUGAAGCGGGAGGAAACUCUGGUGGAAUGCCGUAUCCGUUCUGACGUGCCAUCAAUCGAUAAACUUGGGUAAGGGGCGACCUUCUAAUCUAACCAUCUAGUAUCUGGUUCCUUCCAAAGCUCCCUCUGGAUAGCUGGAUCUCUGGCUAAAUAUUCGGUAAAACUAAUGAUUUGAGGCCUUUCACGCGUAUUGCCCUCUACCUAUUCUCAAACUUUCAUGGAUAUGAAUUAGUGUUUCUUUAGUGAACUGACAACGUGAAUGCUGGUCCUCGUGAGCCUUUUGUGGUAAGUAGAACUGGCGCUGUGGGAUGAACUACAUGUGGAGUUACUGUGCUUAACUUCUCUCUCAUGACACCCCGUUACCAGAGUUGGCUGAUAUUGACGUUUGACUGUGG